GAUGAACGCUGGCGGCGUGCCUAAUACAUGCAAGUCGAGCGAACAGAUAAGGAGCUUGCUCCUUUGACGUUAGCGGCGGACGGGUGAGUAACACGUGGGUAACCUACCUAUAAGACUGGGAUAACUUCGGGAAACCGGAGCUAAUACCGGAUAACAUUUGGAACCGCAUGGUUCUAAAGUGAAAGAUGGUUUUGCUAUCACUUAUAGAUGGACCCGCGCCGUAUUAGCUAGUUGGUAAGGUAACGGCUUACCAAGGCAACGAUACGUAGCCGACCUGAGAGGGUGAUCGGCCACACUGGAACUGAGACACGUUCCAGACUCCUACGGGAGGCAGCAGUAGGGAAUCUUCCGCAAUGGGCGAAAGCCUGACGGAGCAACGCCGCGUGAGUGAUGAAGGGUUUCGGCUCGUAAAACUCUGUUAUUAGGGAAGAACAAACGUGUAAGUAACUGUGCACGUCUUGACGGUACCUAAUCAGAAAGCCACGGCUAACUACGUG
rnacentral:rRNA from 1 species